rnacentral:rRNA from 1 species
CGAAAGCCUGACGGAGCAAUACCGCGUGAGGGAGGAAGGCUCUUGGGUUGUAAACCUCUUUUCUCAGGGAAGAAUGAUGACGGUACCUGAGGAAUCAGCAUCGGCUAACUCCGUGCCAGCAGCCGCGGUAAUACGGAGGAUGCAAGCGUUAUCCGGAAUGAUAGGGCGUAAAGCGUCCGCAGGUGGCAGUGUAAGUCUGCUGUCAAAGAGUCUGGCUCAACCAGAUAAAGGCAGUGGAAACUACACAGCUAGAGUGCGGUAGGGGCAGAGGGAAUUCCUGGUGUAGCGGUGAAAUGCGUAGAGAUCAGGAAGAACAUCGGUGGCGAAAGCGCUCUGCUAGGCCAUAACAGACACUGAGGGACGAAAGCUAGGGGAGCGAAUGGGAUCAGAUACCCCAGUAGUCCUAGCCGUAAACGAUGGAUACUAGGUGUUGCUUGUAUCGACCCGAGCAGUACCGUAGCUAACGCGUUAAGUAUCCCGCCUGGGGAGUACGCAGGCAACUGUGAAACUCAAAGGAAUUGACGGGGGCCCGCACAAGCGGUGGAGUAUGUGGUUUAAUUCGAUGCAACGCGAAGAACCUUACCAGGGCUUGACAUGCCGCGAAUCUCAGGGAAACUUGGGAGUGCCUUCGGGAGCGCGAACACAGGUGGUGCAUGGCUGCCGUCAGCUCGUGUCGUGAGAUGUUGGGUUAAGUCCCGCAACGAGCGCAACCCUCGUUUUUAGUUGCCAUCAUUAAGUUGGGCACUCUAGAGAGACUGCCGGUGACAAACCGGAGGAAGGUGGGGAUGACGUCAAGUCAGCAUGCCCCUUACGU